CCUACGGGAGGCAGCAGUGGGGAAUAUUGGGCAAUGGGCGCAAGCCUGACCCAGCAACGCCGCGUGAAGGAAGAAGGCUUUCGGGUUGUAAACUUCUUUUCUCAGGGACGAAGCAAGUGACGGUACCUGAGGAAUAAGCCACGGCUAACUACGGGCCAGCAGCCGCGGUAAUACGUAGGUGGCAAGCGUUAUCCGGAUUUACUGGGUGUAAAGGGAGUGUAGGCGGGAAAGCAAGUCAGAUGUGAAAACCAUGGGCUCAACCUGUGGCCUGCAUUUGAAACUGUUUUUCUUGAGUACUGGAGAGGCAGACGGAAUUCCUAGUGUAGCGGUGAAAUGCGUAGAUAUUAGGAGGAACACCAGUGGCGAAGGCGGUCUGCUGGACAGCAACCGACGCUGAGGCGCGAAAGCGUGGGGAGCAAACAGGAUUAGAUACCUGGGUAGUC
rnacentral:rRNA from 1 species